rnacentral:rRNA from 1 species
AACGGAUAUUAGCUUGCUAAUAUUGUCAACUAAGUGGCGCACGGGUGAGUAAUAUAUAGUUAAUCUGCCCCAAAGAAGAGAAUAAUUGUUGGAAACGACUUGUAAUGCUCUAUAUGCCUUUAUUACAUAAGUAAGCAAGGGAAACAUUUAUGGCUUUGGGAUGAGACUGCACGGUAUCAGCUAGUUGGUGAGGUAAUGGCUCACCAAGGCUAUGACAUCUAACUGGUUUGAGAGGAUGAUCAGUCACACUGGAACUGAGACACGGUCCAGACUCCUACGGGAGGCAGCAGUGGGGAAUAUUGCACAAUGGAGGGAACUCUGAUGCAGCAACGCCGCGUGGAGGGUGACACAUUUCGGUGCGUAAACUCCUUUUAUAUGAGAAGAUAAUGACGGUAUCAUAUGAAUAAGCACCGGCUAACUCCGUGCCAGCAGCCGCGGUAAUACGGGGGGUGCAAGCGUUACUCGGAAUCACUGGGCGUAAAGAGCAUGUAGGCUGGUUUGUAAGUUGGAAGUGAAAUCCUAUGGCUUAACCAUAGAACUGCUUCCAAAACUGCAGACCUAGAAUAUGGGAGAGGUAGAUGGAAUUUCUGGUGUAGGGGUAAAAUCCGUAGAGAUCAGAAGGAAUACCGAUUGCGAAGGCGAUCUACUGGAACAUUAUUGACGCUGAGAUGCGAAAGCGUGGGGAGCAAAC